CUCAUUUCACACCUGUCAAAUCUGGACAUCAAUUCCUAUAUUCUAGGGGUGUUGUGGAAGAUUAAAAAACAGUGCUUUGAGUAGUAACAUUGCCUCUGAUCAGUUGAUAGCCAAGAGAAUAAGGUAUAAAGUUUUCUUCCUUGGGGUAGGUAUGGUCUAAAACGUGGUUUGCAGAAGAUCAAAAAGCUCCUUAAAGUUUAGAGAAAUUCAAGAAAAAAUCUGAAGCAAUCAGCUAGGUAGAGAAAAAGUGGGAUCUUGAUGAAGACCUUACACAGUCGUCAUAGGUAUGGAGGGUUGGGACCCAAGACUGACUCAAGCCAGGUGACCUAGGGCAAGUCACACGAUCUAUCUGAAGCUCAACUAUCUCACCUGUGAAAUGGGGAUGAUGAUAAUAUUCUGUCCCUAGCUGCCCUGGGAGAUGGUAGUGCUGAUCAAAUGGGACGCACAGUGAGGUGUUUUGUGAAUUAGCGAGUGCUCUGGGAAUAGAAGCAAGUUAUUUUUUGCACUGAAAAGGCAGCUGCCUUGUCCAUUAGGUAUUUCUCUCAGAAUCAGAAUGAAGCGAUUGGUUAAAAAUUGAAUCAUUAAAAACACCAACUUAAAAUAGAGCCAGAAUGGGAUCUGUGUUUCAGGUGGCCAAGAAAAGUAUUCGAUUACUAUUCUUAAAUUUACCUGUUUGGGAGUUAUGUUGCUGCUUUAUCACGUGAUUAAGGCCAUGGGAUUCCUCUAAUAUCUCUAUUUUUCCUAAUUGCUGACCGUAUCAAGUUCAAAUGGUGUAGACCUGAAGGUAAAGCCUAUCGGGAGUAAAAUAUCCAAACCCCUAAACCAAAAACAACAAUAAAAAAAGAAAUGAAACACUCCACCGGGAUUUCCUACGUUAACACUGACAGAAGGUAGAUGGAAGUUUAAUAAAGGGGCACUGGGUUGACACUUGGUGCACAUGAGCCUGGCUUUAUGACCUUGGCCAUCUGUGCCUUCACUUGCCUCUUUGGCUUCACUUCCCAGUCUGUCCUUUAUGAAUUCUCUCAUCCUCCUUAACUGAGGUGCUUAUUUCCUCAAUCCUCUGUGUACUUGCCAACCACUGCCUUUGUUCAAACCAUCAAACCACCAGCCCACCGUGCAUCUCCUCUGCAAUGCUGUCCUGUGUCCGUGCCUCUCCCUUCUUUAAGGAUGCAGGCAUCCUCCAGGAAGCGGUCCAGGAGCCUCGGCCCUCUGCAGAGGAGCUCUGCCUGAGCCUCUUGUGUGCCCUUGGCUCUGAUUGCCCUGCAUUGUACGUUGUGUAUUUGGACAGCUGUUCUAUAAACUGUAAGACCCUCAAGGCUGUGUCUUUUCACCUCUGCCUCCCAGAGUCUAGCACAGGUCUGUAAACAUCAGUGCAUAACAAUUUCUUAUUGUUGAUAAAGAUUCUGAAAUACUAGUCUCCUUUGAUGAGAAAGAGUGAACAGGCCGAGGUGGGUGGAUCAGCUGAGGUCAGGAGUUUGAGACCAGCCUGGCCAACGGGGUGAAACUCUGUGUCUACUAAAAAUACAAAAAAUUAGCCGGGCAUGGUGGUGCGUGCCUGUAAUCCCAGAUACUCAGGAGGCUGAGACAGGUGAAUUGCUUGAACCUGGGAGGUGGAGGUUGCAGUGAGCUGAAGUCACCCCAUUGCACUCCAGCCUGGGUGACAGAGUAAGACUCUGUCUCAAAAGAAAAAAAAAAAAACAUAGUAAACAGGGAUGGGUACUAACUUUUACAGAGAAACCUAAUGUGCAAUGAGUGUAUGAGGGGGGAUGGUUAGAUGCGUUGGCUCUGGAAUGAGACCGCAAGCCCACUUCUUACUUCCAAACAUGUGUAAGCAUUAAUUAAAAAUAUUAAAUAUUUGGAUAUCCAUCUCUCUAAUAAUCAAGUUUCUUACUUCCUGACUUAGCAUUCAAGCUGUACACCCACUGGCCCAUGAACUAAAAAAGUCUUUUCAUUUAGGCAUUAGAAACAGAUGUAGAGCUGAAUAUUGAACCUGUUUAGAGGAUUUUGACUUGGAACAGAAGAUAUUCUGCUAAAAAACUAUUCUUAAACCCAACAAGAGAGGCUGUUCCUUCACAGGUAGAAUAGUAAACUCAUGUCUCUCAUAAAGAGAAUUUGUAAGUGGCCUUUCCCCCCAACCAUUGAGACCACAGUCACAUUUAAAUCAUUUCAUCAAAUGAGGGAAUUUUCUUAUGAGACAAAUUCUAAGCACUCAGGCCAUGCUACAGUGAGUUUUUCAAGGGAGACCACAUUUCCCAGGUGUUUGGGGGCUCUUGUGCAUCUAUUUAGGGACUCAGAAAUAACUUACUUCAGGCACGAACUUAUAAAGAAUGUCUUCACAAUCCAAGUGCAACUUGAAUCACAAAAAAAUUAAUGUAUCUUUUUUUAAAUCUCAAGACAUUAGAGAUCUAAGUUAAAUUGAAGAAACACACAUUCACAAUGCUUGAGUUUUGUUGCCAGCCUUUAUUUGAUAAUGCUGCCAAAUAUACCUUAUUUUAGAAGAGCAUUGUGAGAUAGCAGAGAGAUGAAAGUUAGACAAAGAACAAUGCUGCCAUGGAAAAGGCAACUGUGUGCUCAUCACCCCUGCCCAGUGGUGACAGGUGGACACCUGGGUAGGAACGCUGCUGCUGGUUGGCUGGUAGGAGGUGCUGCAGAGAGGCCCCUACCUGGCUCUCAUCCUCUCUCAGUGGCAAGUCCGUCUAGUUCAGACUCAGACAGGUGGAAGAAGUCAACUCCUAACUAGGGUAUAAUGAAGCAUGAUGGAAGUAUUUGACCCAGUGGCUCUUCUAUACCCAGGAGGCCCUGACUGCCACAUUCACCAGUUGAUUUUCCAGGGAACAUAAUCAGAGGCAGAAUCGUCUGGUGGUUAAAAGUACAAUCUGGAGUUAGACUGCUUGAUUUUCAAUCCCAGCUCUUCCACUCAUCAGCUUUGUUAUCUUAGGCAAGUAACUUAAUAUCACUUGGCUUUGUGUUCCUCAUCUCUAAAGGAAAAUCUACAACAUAUGCUUAUUUGUGAGGCAGGGUAGGGGGGCCACGGGGUUGAGUUAACCUAUGUGAGUCAGUUAGUGUAGUGUCUAGAACAAAAGAAAUGCUCCAAAAUUCUUGGCUAUCCUCAUCAACACCUUCAUUUCUUCCAUCCAUUUCUAAAUACAGCCAUUUUCUCAGGGCCAGGUAACUAGAUUGAAGCAGAGUCCAUGAAGAACUAACCAUGCCUCACUCCACCCCUGCAGAUGGCUCCUUCAUGAAGAUCUCCCCAUUUGAAACACAACAUCUGUUUCCUGCUGGGACCCUGACUGACACAACGGUCAAAAUAAGCUCCUCCAUGGGAAGCAUUGAGAGAGGCAGAAAAUAAAGAGAAGGAAGAUAA